GGCUGUGCCCAGCAGGAUCACCCAGGCCGGGUAGCUGUGCGGCUCCAGUCCCAGGUCGAGGCCCAGCUCGGUGCGCAGCAGGUUGAUUUGCCCCUACUUAUGCAGCUUGAUGGCCCUCUGCUCCCUGGGGCUCAACAAAUUGGUGCCGAAUUUAGCGCUGACACCUGAUUGGCCUAGCCCACAUCAGCUCGGAAUUCCUGAGUUCAAGUGAUCUACCAACCUUAACCUCCCCAGUAGCAAGGAUUACAGUGAGCCAUUCCUUGGAGCAAAGAUGAAGAAAGAAAGAGAAAAACAGUAAUUCAGCAAAAUCAAGCAACACGUUAGCCCCAGGCUACCUUACGCCUCUUGUCCCCCAUCGAUGGAAGGAGAGGAGGGAGCACCACCAUCUUUCUGGUGACCCAGAAACUUGGCUUGCCCAACCCUGAAGACACCACCUGCUUGUCCACCUCCAGUGGUGAUUGUACUUUCUCUCCUGUCUUUGAAGCACUUGGCCAGAAGGACAAACAGGCCUGCUCUUCAUGCCUCACUCCCACUCUCAGACCAUCCCUUUAGCACAUCACUCACAGCCUCCUCUGAGGUUCACUCCAUCCAUCUUCACUGCCCUGGCCAACUCCUUAUCGCAGUCAUCUACCUCCAAGUUAUUCUUGGCUUUUUCCCAAGGGGUUCAGUACCUGGCUCACAGUCAUCCUUUCCUCCCCAGCUCCUGCUCUCAUACUUAGGAAUUUCAACAUAUAUCUUGAAUCCCCCUCAAUCACUCCUACCUCCCAGUUCAUUUAGCUCCUAAACUCCAUUGACCUUCAUCUUAAUUCCAGCUCAGCCACACAUAGGGACAGUCCUAUCUUUGAUCUGAUCAUUACUCGUAAUUGCUCCACUUUCACUACUCAGAACUCUGAUGCUACACUCUCUGAACACAAAUUCUUGUCUUUCAAUUUCUCCUUAUUCACCCUUUUAAAUCUACUCCUUAUUCUCACUGUCCUCUAGUCCCCACAUCUCUUCCAAUUCUCCCGGUCCAUCAUCUGCAGCCUCUACUCCCUCUUUUCACACUUGUAACCAAAUGAUUGACCAGUUAACCCUGGACCAUCAGCGAUCCUUGAACCCUUUACUCCCUCAUCAUAUUGGUGUUCCUAUCACAAGCUCAGUACACAGAGCACUGGGUUUAGAACCAGGAAGACUCAUCUUCCUGAGUUCAAAUCCAGCCUCAGACACUGUGUGAC